rnacentral:sRNA from 1 species
GUCAGCACCCCGCACUAAAGUGACGGGGCUUCAUGCCCCAGAAUUUUGGUUAGUUGACCAGCCUAAGUACUUCAAGUACUACGUUUAAAGGCAAGUCGUGCGAUUCGUUCACUCGAAAUGAGUACUUAUACUCAGGGAUGAGUGGCAAGGGAAUAAGAACCGAGUAAUCGG